rnacentral:rRNA from 1 species
GACGAACGCUGGCGGCGUGCUUAACACAUGCAAGUCGAACGGAAAGGCCCUGCUCUUGUGGGGUGCUCGAGUGGCGAACGGGUGAGUAACACGUGAGUAACCUGUCCUUGUCUUUGGGAUAACUUCAGGAAACUGGGGCUAAUAUCGGAUAGGAGCUCCUGCUGCAUGGUGGGGGUUGGAAAGUUUCGGCGGUUGGGGAUGGACUCGCGGCUUAUCAGCUUGUUGGUGGGGUAGUGGCUUACCAAGGCUUUGACGGGUAGCCGGCCUGAGAGGGUGACCGGCCACAUUGGGACUGAGAUACGGCCCAGACUCCUACGGGAGGCAGCAGUGGGGAAUAUUGCACAAUGGGCGGAAGCCUGAUGCAGCAACGCCGCGUGCGGGAUGACGGCCUUCGGGUUGUAAACCGCUUUCGCCUGUGACGAAGCGUGAGUGACGGUAAUGGGUAAAGAAGCACCGGCUAACUACGUG